rnacentral:rRNA from 1 species
CCUACGGGGGGCAGCAGUGAGGAAUAUUGGUCAAUGGACGAGAGUCUGAACCAGCCAAGUAGCGUGAAGGAUGACUGCCCUAUGGGUUGUAAACUUCUUUUAUAUGGGAAUAAAAUGUUCCACGUGUGGGAUUUUGUAUGUACCAUAUGAAUAAGGAUCGGCUAACUCCGUGCCAGCAGCCGCGGUAAUACGGAGGAUCCGAGCGUUAUCCGGAUUUAUUGGGUUUAAAGGGUGCGUAGGCGGACUGUUAAGUCAGCGGUAAAAGCCCGGGGCUCAACCCCGGCGAGCCGUUGAAACUGGCUGUCUUGAGAUGUCGAGAGGUAUGCGGAAUGCGCAGUGUAGCGGUGAAAUGCUUAGAUAUAUGGAAGAACACCAGUGGCGAAGGCGGCUCUCUGGUCUGCAACUGACGCUGAGGCUCGAAAGCAUGGGUAGCGAACAGGAUUAGAUACCCCUGUAGUC